rnacentral:lncRNA from 1 species
UUGUAUAUUUCAUGAAUAGUCAUAUAAGUUUUUGCCAAAAUGUUAUAAACUUGCAUUAAAAACAGAUUUGACUAGGUUUCCAUCGAAGAACAAAGUAACCAUCCAGAUCUUUGACUUUAGUUAAUCAGAUUCAAAUCAGCAAACUCAUAUGGAUAUAUACAACUACACAAACACAAGCAUGGAUUUAGUCAUUUAGUGAAAAUAGAUUCCGACGUGGAUCCUAAUAAAUUUCGAUUUAAUUCAGAUGCAAACACAUGAAUCUAUGCCAUAU